UGAUCGGUACGGGUUGUGAGAGCAAGAGCCCGGAGAUGGAACCUGAGACAAGGUUCCAGACCCUACGGGGUGCAGCAGGCGCGAAACCUCCGCAAUGUACGAAAGUGCGACGGGGGGAUCCCAAGUGUUAUGCUUUUUUGUAUGACUUUUCAUUAGUGUAAAAAGCUUUUAGAAUAAGAGCUGGGCAAGACCGGUGCCAGCCGCCGCGGUAACACCGGCAGCUCGAGUGGUAGCUGUUUUUAUUGGGCCUAAAGCGUUCGUAGCCGGUUUGAUAAGUCUUUGGUGAAAGCUUGUAGCUUAACUAUAAGAAUUGCUGGAGAUACUAUUAGACUUGAAGUCGGGAGAGGUUAGAGGUACUACCGGGGUAGGGGUGAAAUCCUAUAAUCCUGGGAGGACCACCUGUGGCGAAGGCGUCUAACUGGAACGAUCUUGACGGUGAGUAACGAAAGCCAGGGGCGCGAACCGGAUUAGAUACCCGGGUAGUCCUGGCCGUAAACGAUGUGGACUUGGUGUUGGAAUGGCUUUGAGUUGUUCCGGUGCCGAAGCGAAGCUGUUAAGUCCACCGCCUGGGAAGUACGGUCGCAAGACUGAAACUUAA
rnacentral:rRNA from 1 species